UUUGCCACGUGCGCUGCGUCAGCGGAAUCUUCCAAACAGCCUAUCCGUGGGAGCGCACCAUGGAAAAGGACAAUUUGACCAAACUACAACGGUAGCGACGACAACAACAAAGCUUACAGAAGCAACAACGACAUCAGCGACAGCAGCAGCGGAGUUUUAGCUUUCACAUAAUUUACCUCAAGGAACAAAUUCCCUAAUUGGCGCCCGAGCAGGGACCAGGAUAAUAAAAAGGAUAACUCGUCGGCCUCAAACGAGCUUCGCCGCGUAGAAAUAAAUUAAAUUAAUUCGAAAAAGUGCCUCAAAACGAGCCACAGCGCGGGAGCGAUUUAGUACAGAUAACAAUAAUCUUUACCGCGUUUGACUAAAAUAAAUAAAUAUUAUCGCCGUUCGUACCGCCGACUCUUUGCAGCAUCCGUUCGCAGAGAGCCACGUCUAAAGUGUUACUAAGGAGCCCCAGUCACCUGCUGCACCUUUGUUGUUGCAGGACAAAAAGGAUUAACUUCAAAGGACUAUCGUGAGAGAUUCACCGGAAUGCUAGUUAUAUUGUUGUUCUUACCAACAUGCCUUGGGUUGUCAACAAUUGUAGACUAAACACACUCACAGUUAAUUCCAAUAAAAAUUAAAGAUACCCUGCAUGCAAUAAACGCCCCACACCAGCUAUUCCCAUUGCUCGAAUAUGAGAUCGGAUAAUUAAAAAUGAUCUACGCAGACGAAGACCUUCCCAAAGAGCGGCAAGAGCGAUAAAUGCGUUGGCCUGGAAAUGGUUGGACGGCUCGCCGGACCACGGCGACUACAAAAUAUUAGUAACUAAGAUGCAUGAGUACAUAGAAAACAACAACAAAAAG